rnacentral:rRNA from 1 species
UACGUAGGGGGCAAGCGUUGUCCGGAAUCAUUGGGCGUAAAGAGCGUGUAGGCGGUCCGGUAAGUCGGUUGUGAAAGUCAAGGGCUCAACCCUUGAAUGCCGGCCGAUACUGCCGGGCUAGAGUCCGGAAGAGGUGAGUGGAACUCCUGGUGUAGCGGUGAAAUGCGCAGAUAUCAGGAAGAACACCAAUGGCGAAGGCAGCUCACUGGGACGGUACUGACGCUGAGACGCGAAAGCGUGGGGAGCAAACAGG